CUACGGGGCGCUCCAGUGGGGAAUCUUGGACAAUGGGCGCAAGCCUGAUCCAGCCAUGCCGCGUGAGUGAUGAAGGCCCUAGGGUCGUAAAGCUCUUUCGCCAGGGAUGAUAAUGACAGUACCUGGUAAAGAAACCCCGGCUAACUCCGUGCCAGCAGCCGCGGUAAUACGGAGGGGGUUAGCGUUGUUCGGAAUUACUGGGCGUAAAGCGCGCGUAGGCGGAUUGGAAAGUUGGGGGUGAAAUCCCGGGGCUCAACCCCGGAACUGCCUCCAAAACUCCCAGUCUUGAGUUCGAGAGAGGUGAGUGGAAUUCCGAGUGUAGAGGUGAAAUUCGUAGGUAUUCGGAGGAACACCAGUGGCGAAGGCGGCUCACUGGCUCGAUACUGACGCUGAGGUGCGAAAGUGUGGGGAGCAAACAGGAUUAGAUACCCGGGUAGUC
rnacentral:rRNA from 1 species